AGGAGUGUAGCUCAGUGCUAGAGCAUCUGCUGUGCAUGCACAAGGUCCCAGGUUUAUUCCCUGGCAUCUCCA